CACCUCAGAGGGGGAGGAACCAGGUGGGAUGCAGAUCUUCGUGAAGACCUUGACUGGUAAGACCAUCACCCUGGAGGUGGAGCCCAGUGACACCAUCGAGAAUGCCAAGGCCAAGAUCCAAG